GACGAACGCUGGCGGCGUGCUUAACACAUGCAAGUCGAACGGAAAGGCCCUGCUUUUGUGGGGUGCUCGAGUGGCGAACGGGUGAUUAACACGUGAGUAACCUGCCCUUGACUUUGGGAUAACCUCAGGAAACUUGGGCUAAUACCGGAUAGGAGCUCCUGCUGCAUGGUUGGGGUUGGAAAGUUUCGGCGGUUGGGGAUGGACUCGCGGCUUAUCAGCUUGUUGGUGGGGUAGUGGCUUACCAAGGCUUUGACGGGUAGCCGGCCUGAGAGGGUGACCGGCCACAUUGGGACUGAGAUACGGCACAGACUCCUACGGGAGGCAGCAGUGGGGAAUAUUGCACAAUGGGCGGAAGCCUAAUGCAGCAACGCCGCGUGCGGGAUGACGGCCUUCGGGUUGUAAACCGCUUUCGCCUGUGACGAAGCGUGAGUGACGGUAAUGGGUAAAGAAGCACCGGCUAACUACGUG
rnacentral:rRNA from 1 species